rnacentral:rRNA from 1 species
UACGGAGGGUGCGAGCGUUGUCCGGAAUCACUGGGCGUAAAGGGCGCGUAGGCGGCUUGGUAAGUCUGUGGUGAAAGCUCGUGGCUCAACUGCGAGUCGGCCAUAGAUACUCCUAAGCUCGAGUCGACUAGAGGCAGAUGGAAUUCCGGGUGUAGCGGUGGAAUGCGUAGAGAUCCGGAAGAACACCGGUGGCGAAGGCGGUCUGCUGGGGUCGAACUGACGCUGAGGCGCGACAGCGUGGGGAGCAAACAGG